rnacentral:rRNA from 1 species
UACAGAGGUGGCAAGCGUUGUUCGGAAUUACUGGGCGUAAAGGGCGCGUAGGCGGCUCGACAAGUCCCGCGUGAAAGCCCCCGGCUCAACUGGGGAACUGCGCGGGAAACUGUCGGACUUGAGUUCGGGAGAGGGUAGUGGAAUUCCCGGUGUAGUGGUGAAAUGCGUAGAUAUCGGGAGGAACACCAGUGGCGAAGGCGACUACCUGGCCCAUUCUUGACGCUGAGGCGCGAAAGCUAGGGGAGCGAACGGG